rnacentral:rRNA from 1 species
CACGUAGGGUGCGAGCGUUGUCCGGAAUUAUUGGGCGUAAAGAGCUCGUAGGCGGUGUGUUACGUCGGCCGUGAAAACCUGCAGCUUAACUGUGGGCGUGCGGUCGAUACGGGCAUCACUGGAGUUCGGCAGGGGAGACUGGAAUUCCUGGUGUAGCGGUGAAAUGCGCAGAUAUCAGGAGGAACACCGGUGGCGAAGGCGGGUCUCUGGGCCGAUACUGACGCUGAGGAGCGAAAGCGUGGGGAGCAAACAGG